AUUUUCUAAUUCGGUUUUACCUAGUCUAGAUCUUAGCCAAAUUCUUUAAUUAUAAAAUUCUCACAAAAAAAGUUCCGAAUAUCCAUUUUCAUUCAACGUUUUAUUAUUGUUCAACAGAAUAUGUACAUAUACGUAUUAUCAGAAUACAAUAACUCAGUAACACAGUAUCUACCAAUAUUUUUAAUAUACCUACUUUGAAUUAAUAUUUUUCAUCACCAAAGCCCGUUGUGCUCUUUCAAAACAAUUACAUGUCAAAUAAAUGCAAGCCUUUCGUACUCUCUCCCACCGUAGCGGCACAUCACGUCGAGCAAGACGAGCGCUCGCCGUGGCUCGGCUAGAUUCGGUAAUGUUCGUGUGCCGUGUCGGCGCGGAGCCGAAGCGGCCACGGACCGAGCCACUGGCAAGCGAGCGCGGCGUUUGCCUACAGGCUGCUAGCAAGUAGAAUAGGUGCGCCGCGCGAUUUUUAAAAGUAUAAAAUUAUUCCAAAUGGCAAAUAAAAACUUUUAUCGACAAUAGUAGAUAGUUAGUAGGGAGGUUAACAAAAUCCAGGGGGGGGCAGCUGCCCCUCUUUGCCCCCCCCUGGGUACGCCCAUGCUUAGCUUAUAAAUUCGUCAU